AUAUUGUUUUGUGGAACAAAGCCCACUAAUCGUAACAUAAAGCCUAAACAGCCCAUAAUUAAGGAACCUAAUUGAACCACCAAUUAUUAGUAUUUGUCGUUGGAACCACUAAUUGAACACGAUGAAGAAAGAAGCGAAGCUCUUCGAAGUAGAGAAUAACGUAAUACCCAGAUUCGGACAAGAUCAAGGAAAGAGAUUGGAUUUCGAUUGAAGUUAUGGAUUCCGACGAAUCUUGUCGUAUUCAAUUCUUUAAUUUCUUCUCCAUAGCUUAUCGCAUUCAACAGAUUCAAAAUGGACUUUGAGUCUCAACAUACAAUAGAAAUGCUCAAUGCCCAGAGUGAAUAUAUUGAUAUGAAUGAGGAAGAUGUUCAUGAUGAAGAUAUUGAGAUGAAUGAAAAAGAAACAGAAAUCAAAGAACCAGAGCAAAGUGACACUCAUCAAGCUCCACGAAAGAGAUGUUUAACUUUAUGGUCUAUGAUCUAAGAGCAUGUUUAUCCAUAAACCCAAAUGAGUAUCAUUAGCAUUUUUUAGUAUUAAUUUAAUUAGUUGUUUAAUCUAUGAUACUCAAUAAGAUUUUUGUUAAAUUUGUAUGUUUAAUGGUGAAA